rnacentral:rRNA from 1 species
GGUCAGGAUGAACGCUAGCGACAGGCUUAACACAUGCAAGUCGAGGGGCAGCAUAAAAGUAGCAAUACUUUGGUGGCGACCGGCGCACGGGUGAGUAACGCGUAUGCAACCUACCUAUCAGAGGGGAAUAACCCGGCGAAAGUCGGACUAAUACCGCAUAAAACAGGGGCACCGCAUGGUGACAUUUGUUAAAGAGAUUCGCUGAUAGAUGGGCAUGCGUUCCAUUAGGUAGUUGGUGAGGUAACGGCUCACCAAGCCGACGAUGGAUAGGGGAACUGAGAGGUUGGUCCCCCACACUGGUACUGAGACACGGACCAGACUCCUACGGGAGGCAGCAGUGAGGAAUAUUGGUCAAUGGGCGGGAGCCUGAACCAGCCAAGUCCGCGUGAAGGAAGAAGGAUCUAUGGUUCGUAAACUUCUUUUGCAGGGGAAUAAAGUGCAGGACGUGUCCUGUUUUGUAUGUACCCUGAGAAUAAGGAUCGGCUAACUCCGUGCCAGCCGCCGC